rnacentral:rRNA from 1 species
CAGUCGCCGCGGUAAUACGAAGGGUGCAAGCGUUAAUCGGAAUUACUGGGCGUAAAGCGUGCGUAGGCGGUUUGUUAAGUCUGUUGUGAAAUCCCCGGGCUCAACCUGGGAAUGGCAAUGGAUACUGGCAAGCUAGAGUGUGUCAGAGGAUGGUGGAAUUCCCGGUGUAGCGGUGAAAUGCGUGGAGAUCGGGAGGAACAUCAGUGGCGAAGGCGGCCACCUGGGACAACACUGACGCUGAGGCACGAAAGCGUGGGGAGCAAACAGGAUUAGAUACCCCUGUAGUCCCUGUCUCUUAUAC